rnacentral:sRNA from 1 species
UACCUAAACCCAUUUAGGGCAUGGUAGCAAAUCCUUGAGAGGAGAAAGCCCGUCAUCGAGCACCUCUCAAGGUCGUAUGGGGAAACCCGUACGGGUAGCGCAAGCUAUC